rnacentral:SRP_RNA from 1 species
GCCGGGUGCGGUGGCGCGCGCCUGUAAUCCAAGCUACCGGGAGGCUGAGGCUGGCGGAUCGUUUGAGCUCAGGAGUUCUGAGCUGCAGCGGACUAUGCCGAUCGGGUGUCCGCACUAAGCUCGGUAUCGAUAUGGUGCUCCUGGGGGAGCCCGGGACCACCAGGUCGCCUAAGGAGGGGUGCACCGGCCCAGGUCGGAAACGGAGCAGGUCAAAGCCCCCGUGCCGCUCAGUAGUGGGAUCGCGCCUGUGAAUAGACGCUGUAGUGCAGCCUGAGCAAUACAGCGGGACUCAGUCUUUU